UAAAGGGUAUUUAUUUUUUAUCAUUACCUUGUUCAGUUCCCGGUAGUCAAUACACAGGCACAAGGUUCUAUCUUUCUUUUUCACAAAUAACAUCGGUACACCCCAUGGUGAAGUACUUGGUUGGAUAAACCCCUUCUUAAGUAGGUCUUGCAAUUGUUCUUUCAGUUCUUUCAUUUCGGCAGUCGACAAUCUGUCGGGGGUUUUUGAGAUAGGCCGAGUGCUUGGGUACAAUAUCAAUAGUAAACUUUAUUUCCCUGUCAACCAAUUCUCCUUGCAAUUCAUCUGGGAAUACAUCUAGAAACUAGCUAACAAUAAGGAUACUGCUCAAUUCAACAUUCACAGAUUGUUCAGACAAUACACAACACAAAUAACCUUAGCACCCUUUCAUGAUCAAUUUACGUGUUUUCAUUGCAGAUAUCAAAUAAGAUGGAGGCACUACCCCAUUGCCCAUAAACACAAUUUCUUCCUGCCUUGGUAGUCUAAAUACAACUUGUUUCGUUACAUAAUCAAUGGUGGCACAGUAUUUAAAUAACCAGUCCAUACCCAGAAUUACAUCAAAGUGUCUAAAGUCUAAGGGUAACAAAUCUACGUACAAGGUAGCAUUCCUAAUAUGCAUAUCACAAAAUCAACAUACAAAUGUACACAACAUAGAUUCCUCAGAUGGAGCAGAUACACAUAACAAAUAUGGCAAUGAUUCUAGAGGUCUAUUCAAUCUAGAUACAAAUACAUAAGUUAUAAAGGAGUGUGUUAAUCCAGAGUCAAUUAACACAAAAGCAUCCUGAUUACAUAUAGAGAUAGUACCUGAGACGACGGCUUCUGCGUUCCAUGUAUUGCCCGGAACGAGCGCAAAGACUCUUCCUUGCCUCACGGUGUCUCUGGUAGUAGUAGGUCUCAUAGUGUUUCCUGGUUUUGGGAUUGAUGUAGUUGAGCUAGCAGCUAACUUCACACUAUUUUGAUUACAAUCCUUGGCCAUAUGCCCUGUUUUACCACACUUAAAGCAGGCCCCUGAAACACGGUAGCAAACUCCGCGAUGUCUUUUACCACAUUGGUUGCACAUUGGAGAUGUAUCCCUGGAAAAAUUUGAAGUGUUUGAGGUGCCUGUAUUCUGUUUCUUUGAAAGUCUUUUCUUCGAAAAAAUGCCCUGCCUUUUACUUUUCCAAUCAGUUUAUGAUUUACUCUACCUGACUAUGUUAGCUUCUGUUAUUAUCGCCCGAUCUAGCACAUCAAUAUAAGUUUCUAGCUUUAGUACAUUCACCUUCUCUAAGAUGUCAUCUCGAAGACCACCCUAAAACUUUCUCGCUUUCUUAUAGUCAAUGUCGACCAUGUGCGGCGCAAAUCUAGCCAAUUCAGUAAACUUGGCCUCGUACUCAGCCAUUGUCAUGUUGUCUUGCUUAAGUUCCAUGAACUCCUGUCAUGAACACAUUGUGGAAAGUAUUUGUCGUAGAAAAUUUCUAAGAACCGUGCCCAGGCAAUAUCUUUAUUGCUUUCACGCAUCAACAUCCACCACCUUCUUGCUUCAUCUUCUAGUGUAAAGGCGGCUAGCAACACCUUCUAUGUUUCUAGACAAGGAAACACUUCAAACAACUUCUCUAUGCCAAGGACCCACACUUCAGCCUUCAAUGGAUCCAAUCCUCCAUGAAACUGUGGCAGUUUCAUUUUCUUAAACUCUUUGGUGAGAGCUGUGGUUCGGUCAUCGUUUUGCAAGUCAUGAACAGGUUGUACCGGAGGUGGAGGGUGUGGCUGUUGUCACUGUUGUUGUUGCCUCAAUGUUUCUGCCAUGUCCUGUAUUAAUCUUUCCAUCCGAUCCAUUCUAGUAGUAGAGGACUCCUCUAAUUCAUCAGCUCUUGUUUUCAUCAUUAUUUGAUUAAACUUGCAUAUUCUUUAUACAAAAAUGGACACAAGUAUGCAUAUACAUAUUCAAGUAAUUCACAAUGCAAGUAAAUCACAAGGCACAUAACACACAGUCAUUCGUUUCAAGAUAUUUAAGUUUAUUCUCAAUGCUUUCAAGUUCAUACUUAUCACAUGAAUGCAUUCUAAAUCUUUUCUAGACGCUCUAGUGCUCUUUUGGACAAGUGUGUGAGUUGUCAACUCGUGACCCAAACCCGCCCCCGCAGGUUAAGGUCAUAACCGGCCAGUAAUCAUAAGAUUACCUACGGCCUCUGACAAAACCAAUUCACAUUAUAAUAGAAAAUGGGCCAAACGGAAGCAGUCUUGAAAAUAAUAUUUGUCCAUUGAGCUGUGCUUACAUGGCAUACCAAAAACAUUUCCAUAUAUGUAAUAAUAACUCACACUAAGAACCAAAUUAAACAUAUCGUGCAUCUAGGAUCAUACAUACAUAUGGCCAGCCAAACAAAAGGUUUAUGUACAUAGGUGAUCCAAUGGAUCCACCAAGGUAGCAAAAGAGUAAAACAAAAGGACAAAAACGGAGUCUCAUGCGUGAGACAUUCGAGCUGACUCCACAAAACUUGGACUUCUCUUACAAGCUUUACUGAGGUUGGGGCUGGAUAUCUCUUUGUUUACCUACAUACAAAUAAAUAAGAGUGAGUGAAAGCCCAUUGAAUAAUACCAGAGUAAAGAGGUUAUACGAAUAAAAGUUCUCUAAUAAGUGAUAUCCUUGUCAAUCACAUCAAACGGCCUUAGGCCUAUUCGUAUUUCUAUCAAAUGUAUCAAACAACUUUAGGUCCAAUCAUAUCAAACGGCCUUAGGCCCAAUUCAUUCUUGUCAAAUGGCCUCAGGCCCAAUUCAUUCUUAACAAAUGGCAUCGGGUCGAAUUUGUUCUUAACGGCCUCGGGCCCAAUUCAUUCUUAUCAAACGGCCUCUGGCCCAAUUAUCGUAUCAAACGGCUUUAGACCCAAUCAUGUCAAACGGCCUCAGGCCCAAUUCAUAGCAAACGGCCUAAGGCCCAAUUUAUUUGUAUUCAUAUUUAGGUGUAUUUCAUAUUCGCGGUCAUAAUCGUAUUCAUUUUCAAACGGCCUUCGGCCCAAAACAUUUUCCUCGUAACGCCUUAUACAAACAUUAAGCAUAAUGAAUACUCAUGCACAAAUGAACAAAUCCAUAAAACUUAUACAAAAGUAACAUUUGGAAAGUAGCAUACUUGAAGGUAUCUUUUCUAAGAUAUUAUUCACAAUGUUCCGUCGGUGGAUUUGCCCUCGUGCUUGACUCUACACAUUUCAUAACACAUUGGGUCACAAACAAUUCAAUCCGUUCUUAACUUAUUAUUUCUCUUAGGCCUCUAUCUUAUCCCUUAAGUUCAUUUACAAUGUUUGAUGCAUGCCUAAGAGUGCUUAGGAAUGAAUGAGAACGGAAAACGGAACAUAAAAUAACUUUUCAAAAUUUCUAAAACAGAGCUCUACGCUCGAGCGCAGCUUUGGUCGCUCAAGCGGCCUAUAAACUCUGUAAAAGUACUGGUUGCAUGCAUUUUAUGCUCGAGCGAGCCUCACUCGAGGGCAAUGUUUGACGCUCGAGCCACCAUACAAAUCUCUAUAAAACUUCUGGUUGCCUUCAUUUUCCGCUUGAGCGACAACUCCUUCGUUCGAGCGAAGAGGUCCAUUUAUGGGUUUUCUAGAAUUUUGUUUGAAGUUCAAAUCACAAUUCCAUAGGUCUAAUUCAUGUAUAAUACACUCAAAUAUGCUAGUACACUUCCAAAGACAUAUGUUUGAAGAUAACUUACAACCAUAGUUCAAAAUUCCAUGGAUUUAACAAAUUUCAAACCAUAAACUUUAUAUAUACACAAUUCAUGUUUGUAUCUAGCAUGAACAAGCUUCAAGGCUUGAAAUUAAGCUUCAAUGCAUGGAAGUUCUUACAUGCAUAUGUCAAACAACCCUCAAUACAACAUGAUCAACAUGCUUUACAUUCAAACAUGUAAAAUUAUGGUCAAUUCUUACAUGCAUGCAUCCAAUGAUCUCAAAUUUACCAAGCUUAGCUUAAUUCAUGUAUUUAACUUCAUGUAUACUUUGAAUUCAUUUAGUUAUGACCUUAAACUCAUGAAUUUGAGUUCAAUUACUCACCUAGAAGAUUCAAUUCUUCCAACCAAAGCUAAAUCUUGAGCUAAUUCACCUAGUUCUUGAAUUUCUUUGCAAAACUUUUAAAGAUGAGCCCUCUCUCUCUCUAAAUCCGGCUCCCUCUCUCUCUAAGGUGUGUAUUUCAAUCUUUGAGCUCCCAAAGAAUAAGUAUAAGUGUAAUUAGGCUCGUAUAUAUGCUUGCCUAAUCAAAUUUGAUUAAGGCCAAGUAAUUAAGCUUAAUUCAACCAAUUUAAUCUAAUUAAUUUGAUCCGAAUCAAUUUUCAAUCAAAUUUCACCAUAGACUCUAAAAAUCAUGCUAAUAACAAUGGUACAGACAAUUUUAGUUUCUGUCACCGUCUACAGCCUUCAAUUUUCGAAUUAUAGCAGUAAAUUGGACAGAUUUUCCUACGGUGAACAGAUAUAGUUUCAAAAACAUAAUUAUCACCAAAAACUACAUAAGCACAUAAUCACAAUCAUAAUCAAGGGUAAUUAACAUAACACAGAACAUGGUUAUCACAUAUGGUUUCUCCUAAUUUUCACUUCCUCUUAUAGUUUUCCCAAAAAAAAAAAAAAAAAUUGGUUUUCAUAAUCACAACUUUACCAAAUUCUAAUGGUAAUACGCAAGAUAUUUCAGAGUCUAACUAAAUUUUUGAAAUAUAUUAAUCCUUUUUUCUUGUCAGAUGAAGAAUAGAGAAUUAAAAGAAAUAGGGUAGCACAAGUAGCAGAUGCAAACAAAAAGUUAUCUAUGGCCCAUGAUGAAAUGAAUCAUCUUGGUAUUAGUUUAUAUACAUAACGUAAAUAGCCUCCUUAUAUCUAUACUACAAUUUGACCUUAAAAAUAACUACCCUUCGUUUGAUUGGUCAUAGAAAACAUGGGAAUUGUCAUUGAAAGAUGCAUUAAAGGAGCUUUGAACCAGCCAGAAUCAUCCAUAGGAUGGAAGACAAUUUCAUUUUUCUAAGCAAAAUUACCAGCUCUACUGGGAAUUCGAAGGUGAAGUUCAUGUUUCGCGGAAAUGGUUGUCUAGAAUUGCAAGAACAAGUUCAUAUUGGAACACUUGAAAAGCAAAGAGAUGAACUUCAAGAUGAAUUGAAAAAGGUGCUUGCUUGGUGGUCCCCCAUCACCUGAAAAACCCCAUUAUUGCUAUUGCAGAAUUCUCUUCAUUAAAUAUUGACUCAAGUUUUCAGUUCUACCUAUUUUUUCAUUUGUGUCACAUGCGUAAUGUUGCACACUUGUACCUAGCCCUGUGUACACUUGUCCCUGGCCCGCUUAAAAAUUGAAACCAUGACUUCCAUUGUAUAGUCAGAUCAUUUUUACUCAUUAACAUCUCCAUGGUGACUAACCAUAACACAUCUUAUGAGAAUGAAUGGUUGCUAUAGGUCAAAAGCUCAUUACAUUCUGCAUGAGCACGUCUUCAUAAUGCCAGGAAAGAAAGAGAGCAGUUUGAUGAAAUAAGCAACCAGAUUGUUGAACAUUUGAAGACAAAAGUGUUAUGCUCUUUGCACUUAUUAUAUAUACAACUUUGAGUUAAACCAA